GUGAGUGGAAUGUGGAAUGAAACAAAAUAGAAAUAGAAAACAGCAUGCAAGAUGCCAACUAUAUAAACGAGAUAUCACUGCUGUGUGUAAGUAGUAGAUUUCGGAAUCGGAAGUAUGUUACGGAGUUGCCAUCAGUGGCAAUUUUUGUUUGAAUUGUGAUGCUUGAUGGCAAAAUUUCAAAACAUGAUACCACUCUAUUUCUGUAAAGACUGAGAGGAAAGCGGGGUUGUUUUUAAUGUUUUCGGGGGAUGAGAAAUGAAACUAUGUUGCAAGUUUCUGCAAAUGCCAUUAAUAAAUUAGGGUGAUUUUUGCAAAUGACAAAGCGUGUCAUGUGGUAAA